GGUACCUAUACCGAAGGAUCGCCAUUAGUUUAUGUGUUUAAUCUGUGAAUGACAAAAACAAGUCUUUCUAAAUGCAACAAUAUUAUGUUUUAAGCAACAGAUUGAGAUAAAAUUAAAAUGUGUUUGUUCCUUGUAUGACUCAACUGUUACUGGUCAUUAUUUUGUAAGGGAUACUUUUAACCUAUUCACCGCAUAUUGCCCGCCUCAUAACUUUUUUUUUACACAAAUGUUAUUGUAUUUCUUUGCCGAAGCUUAAAAUCUCAUUUUUAUUUUUAAUAUUUGUUAUUUGAUUCUUCGAUCACUCAUAAAGGCUUACAACAUGCGCCGUUAUAUAUUUAUAAACACACUCAUACAGAAUGGAAGCAAUGUAGAAAUUUCUUAAAAGUAGGAAAAUUGUUUGUUACUUAACGAAUGAACUUUAUUUUAACUUAAAAACUCAUAAAAAAAACCCAUCUUGUUUUGAAAUAUAUGUCUUCAUUGAUCACACAGUCACACACAUCUCAUUAAUAUACUCGAAGUGCGUGUGCGAGAGAAAGAAAGAAAGAAAGAAUUACAUCAACAUAAAUAUACUUAUAGACACUGAUGUAUACAGAGAACCUCAUAUUUAUCCAUCAAUAAUUCGGUUGUAUACCUAUUAUACCUGGUUAUAUAUAUGCACAAAUAAAUUUUUACAUUUAAUAUAUGCAGCUAAAAUACGCAUACAAAUAUAUUCACGUAAUUAAAAAAAAAAAAAACGAACAGAAAUUCAUUUAUAGGCAUAAACAAACUAUUAAAGGUGUCAUGCCUGUAAGAUCCUACAUCUCAAUAAAUGAAUUUACAGAAUAUUUGGGAGAGCCAAAAAAAAAAUAAAUAAAUAAAAGGACCGAUUAAUACAAACUCGAACUGUAACAGGCGUCAAUAAAAUGUUCACAUUUAAUCAUAUUUAAUUCAAGCCACAAAAUGAAUCACAAAUAACUUCUUGGAACGUCUCGCAGAGUCCAAAGUUCAAUUAAACGUUCCAAAACAAUGGCUUUUUUAGGGAAAUAAUUUGGAUGCCUUACUUACCAACCUGACCAGUUACCAGUUAAUUAAAGUUUAAUCUAAUGCUGCUUUGUUGCCAUGGAAAUGGAGCUCCUCACUGAUAAUAAUGUCACACUGCUUCCUUCAUGCAGUGAUGUGUCUGAUGAUGACUUUACUCAAACCAAUUCUGAAUCCCAAGACUUGUUCCCUUGUGAGAUAUGUGGUAAAAUAUACCUGACUGAGAAUAAAAUCAGAAAGCAUAGUGUAACUCAUACGAGACUUAACUGCUACCUGUGUAACAUUUGCCAUUACAGAUUCUCUGAUAUUAACCACUUGAAACAACACUUAAAAGUCCAUGACGAAUUCAAAGAAUUAUGCUGUGAAAUUUGUGGACAUGAGUUUAGUAACAGUCGUAAACUGAAUUUACACAGAAAGAUACACGUAGGUGGGAGACCAUUUGAUUGUGUGUUUUGUGGCCAAACCUUUUCUGAUGCUAACAACUUGAAACGCCAUGCUAAAGCCCAUACUGGAGGAAAACCAUACAGUUGUGAUGUCUGUGGACACUGUUUUGACACGAAGGGCAAAUUACAAAUCCAUCAUAGAAAGCACACAGGGGAAAAGCCAUUCAGCUGUGAAAUAUGUGAUAAAGAUUUUGCAACUAAGGGUCACUUGUCAAAACAUCGAAGAAUACACACAGGUAUAAAAUGUUUCCAUUGUAAAAGUUGUGGCAAAGAUUUUCUGAAAAACGAAGAUUUGAAAAUUCAUGUCAGGACCCAUACAGGGGAAAGACCCUUUUAUUGCAAAAUCUGCUGGAAAGGUUUUAUUACCAACAGCCAGUUAAACAGGCACUUAAAGAUUCACACCACAGAGAGACCAUUCCAUUGUGACGUAUGUGGUAGAAACUUCAUACGUAAUGAUAACCUAAGGAGACAUAUUAAGACUCACACGGGGGAGAAAUCGUUUUACUGUGAGAUGUGUGGUAAAGGGUUUCGUGACAGUGCUCACUUGAAAAGACAUUAUCGCAUACACAUAGAUGACAAACAUUUUUGUUGUGACAUUUGCGGGAAAACGUUCAUGACAAACAGCAGGCUGAGAACUCAUUUAAAAACACAUGAGGCUGACUUCCCACAUGUCACAUUCAGUGAGAGUGUGUCAUUUUCUUUGACUGAAUCGAACUAAUAUUCACCUCUUCAUUAAAUCCUCAUUGGACUACUACUACACUGUAAAUUUUCGUAUGAUGCACCCGUUAUAUGUACACAUGCACUUUAUGUAACACAUUAGCAAAAGAAGGCUGUCCUUCUAAUAACAAGUAAGCUUUUACUCAUCAACACUGUACACCAUUUAACCACUGUAAAGCUGUGUAUUCUCUUUGCCCCUUUUACCACUACUGGAUUGGUCCACCCUUCACUAGAUUUGCUGAAACACCACUAAUGUCUCUGUGUCUAGUGUUAGGAAGGGCAUCCAGCUAUAGAAAACAUGCCAGAGUUGACACUGGAGCUCAGCACAGCCUUGAGACUUACCACUUUCUGUCAAACCAUCCAACCCAUGCCAGCAUGAAAAAAAAACGAACAUUAAACGAUGAUAAUGAUGAUGAGCACCAAUGUACCUGUUUCUCUUCCUUCUACCUCCCCACAUCCUGUUACACUCCUCUUCAGACCCUGUACUAAACAGUCUUUUUCCCCAGUUCUUUCUUACCCUGCCUUUUGUUUUUUACAAAUGGCUUAAACAGAAAAGGAAGGGCAGUGCUCCUGGUCCUUUUAAAAUCUUCCUCUAAGACAGGUGUGAAGAAGUGAGGAAGCUAAUUUCAAACCAAAGACACCACUCAAAUGCCUGCAACAGAGUGGAUUGCACUAAAGACAGUUCAAGCACCAAGUGAAUGGUAUUAAAUAAUUGAUUGACCGACUCCUUA